rnacentral:lncRNA from 1 species
AUACUGCCAGUAGUAUGUCUGGGAACAAAGAGCAGCCAGAAAACAAUCUAUUUUUAUCGCUUGGUUCUACUUUUAAGUUGCUAAACCUUUUGAACUUCUUCAAUUUAAAGAUGAACUGAACACUAAGAAUAGCCCAGGACGCUGCAAAGCCCUGUACCAGGGUUUCCUUUGUCCCCUAUUUAAGCCUAUAGACCCUUGGGAAGCUCUCUCAGAAGCCCCAGUGGUUACGAGAAUUUGCAUGUAACUUAUCUUAACCACAGAAAAUGGUCAUUUGUCUGUAACCUCUAAACAGGCAUUUUUCAUUUGCUGACCUGUAGUGAGGCGAUUUGUCUACUGUAUUUAAACGUAUUUUGCAGGUUGGUCUCCCUGGACUGAAGAGAGGGAGGGUGCAAGGCCAAGACUGUUAACGAUUCUCAAAAUGGUUUAUUACCCAGAGCUCUCUGUCUGGGUCAGUCAAGAACCAUUUCCAAAUAAGGAAAUGGAGGGGAGGCUUCCUAAGAAACUGUCCUCAGAAACCUGACUCUGGGGAAUGCUGCCUCCCACAUGGCUGGGCACAGCCAUUAGAGAAGCACUCGAUUCUCCCGAAGCCAAGCCAGGAAGACUUCCUGUCCCAAAGGAAGUGAACCGCAAGAAGGAUGAGCAGAUUGAGGCCGCCUCCCUGACUCCACCUGGCAGCAGUGAACUCCACUCCCCAGGCAUCGGUUACCUCCACUCUUUUUAAUCGUCACACCUCCAUCUGUAUUACAUAUGGUGUAUGGGUAUUGAUGAGGUCAUGGUAUCAUAUAUGGGAUUUUUUUCUGUGUAAAUCAUCAAGUAUAAGAAGAAACUAUGGGACUCUGAGCCUUGCUUUAGAGAAUUUACAGUGGACAAAUAGGUAUCAUCAAUCCAGUUUUUAAUCAUUCUGACUCAAGUGAAACCGCUCAGAAUUUCACACUGUGAAUCCACGUUUACAACCCUUACAGGUGGGCCUUCAGGCCUGGUUCUCGACAACGAUGUCUUCCACAACUCAAACUCCCUCUGCUCUCACACAACCGGUCCACUCCUGUCUUUUCACUCACACAGCUCCCGACUGCUUCUCGCAGAGGCUGAGAGUCCCCCUUUUUUUUUUCAUUUAGAUGUAACAAGCCUAGUAGUUUAUGUUCAUCAAUUGUCUGUAUAUCUAUAUUUUAUCCAUGUACUCUUUUGAUGUAUAGAAGUAGUUUGAAACUCAUCGUUUCCUUGUGGUAAGUGACCGAGAUGCUGCCACAGGACCUGAGACACUGAUGAAUGGUGCUAUUUUGGACUUUCAACAUGCUCCUUGGCGAGGUAGCUCUGAUGGAGUUAUAUUUUAUUUCCAUGUUCUAAGAAGGUGUUGGUACUCUGUUUCCCUGAAUGUUGUUCUCUAGACUGGAUUGACUUGUUUUCCUCGUGUCUUCAGUGUGGCUUUCUUCUUCAGCGUUGUAGGUUGAGUGAACGCUACCAGAGAGAGUAAGAGACUCACGUCUCGCCGGCUGGCACUCACGGCCAUGCAGUCCCUGUAGCGGGAGCAAUCACAAAACUGUAAUUUACUUACCAAAUCUCUUCUUUCCGGUAGCCUCGCCUGCCUAGCUUACAGAAAGAAAAGCAAUAAUUUGACAGGCGUUUUUAGGUGUCUCUUUUGGUUCUUUUUGUUUGAAAGAAUAUUUGGGGGAAAAAAAGGGCAAACGUUUCAAAUAAACGCCCUGUGGGGAAAAAAAAUCCA